rnacentral:rRNA from 1 species
GUGGGGAAUCUUGCGCAAUGGGCGAAAGCCUGACGCAGCCAUGCCGCGUGAAUGAUGAAGGUCUUAGGAUUGUAAAAUUCUUUCACCGGGGACGAUAAUGACGGUACCCGGAGAAGAAGCUCCGGCUAACUUCGUGCCAGCAGCCGCGGUAAUACGAAGGGGGCUAGCGUUGCUCGGAAUUACUGGGCGUAAAGGGCGCGUAGGCGGACAGCUUAGUCAGAGGUGAAAGCCCAGGGCUCAACCUUGGAAUUGCCUUUGAUACUGACUGUCUUGAGUUUGGGAGAGGUGAGUGGAACUCCGAGUGUAGAGGUGAAAUUCGUAGAUAUUCGGAAGAACACCAGUGGCGAAGGCGACUCACUGGCCCAAUACUGACGCUGAGGCGCGAAAGCGUGGGGAGCAAACAGGAUUAGAUACCCUUGUAGUCC